GGUGGUGUGUUCUAGUGGUAUGAAUUCACGUUGUGGAAUAAAACCUACAGCGUCCGUGACAGCCUGGGUUCGAUUCCCAGCACCGCCA